GUAAAAGUGAAGUGAAGCGGCCUGGCUGUGUUGUGUGUGGCUCAGCAGGCUGUUUAUUGGUUCGGUAAUGGGAUCUGUGUCAGGAAUUCAUGCCAGGCGAAGAGUAAACGAGCUAAAGCACAUUCAGCUAAGCUACAGGAUAAAUAACAACCAUUGUACACAGAAGAAUGCACAACAGGCUUACUGUUUCAACAACAUCCACACUAGAGACAGAGAGAGAGAGAAAGGGAGAGAGAGAGAUGGGGAAAAAAGAGAAAGAGAAACAGUAAAAUGGAAAGAGAGACAGAUGGUAAGAGAGAGAGAGAAACACAGUGAGACAGACAGUGAGGCAGUGAGAGAUUUAAAGCUGCAGGGAAGCUAAAUUUGCUUAAUAGUCAUUUUCCAAUUAUUCACCAAAAACUCUCCACUGUAGAUGUAAGGUGGGUGGGGCUAAUCUUGAGAAAAGCUUGUGUAAGCUCCACCUCCCUCAAUCACAAUUCUGAUGGCACUCAUACCUCCCACACAGCAUGGAGAAAACUAACCUAGCGAGUGAAGCUAAACUAUUGAGCAUAGCUAACAACUCUGUAACUGGUUGGAUGCUACAUGGAGGUUGAACAGCGCUGAUAUCUUGCUGCUUGAAGCUGGAAGUCUCAGACAGAUGGACAGACAGAGGGUCGGACAGAGGGAGAGGCAGAGGGAGAGGCAGAGGGAGAGACAGU
ensembl:lncRNA